UGUUUUCAACCCUCUAUGAUACAAAAUCCAUUUGAAUUGUUGCUGUCUUUGAAACAAGUAGGUACUGUAGAUGAGUAUGUAGAGGAAUUCGAGAGAUAUGCUGGGGCUUUGAAGGAAAUUGACCAUGACUUUGUUAGAGGUAUAUUCCUUAAUGGUCUGAAAGAUGAAAUUAAGGCUGAGGUUAGGUUGUUUGAGUUAGGUACAUUGGCUGAGGUAAUUCAGCAGGCUUUGCUUAUUGAACAAAGGAAUUUGAUAGUGACUAAGAAAGGAGCGCCAGGGUUUCCUAGAUCCUUUAAUUCUUACAAGAGCAACAGUUAUAGUAAAGUAGUAACUGUGGAGCCCCAAGCUAGCUCUAACAGUGAUCAUAAAAGUGAAGGCUCCUCUGUGGGAAGUGGGGGAAUUACCUCCAGAAAUCAGACAGGGGCUGAAAGUCUCAGGAGCAGAGGUAGUGAAUUUAAGCGCUUGACUGGGGCAGAGAUGAGAGAAAAGAGGGAAAAGAACUUGUGCUUCCGAUGUGAUGAACCUUAUAGCAGGGAUCACAAGUGCAGAAACAAACAAUUGAGAAUGAUCAUCAUGGAAGAUGAGGAAGAAGGAGAUGGAGUGGAGUUUUUGGAUGCACUUUCUGGAGAACUAAACUCACUCCAGAUGUCUCUUUGUUCUAUGACUGGUCUCACCUCCACUAAGUCAUGGAAGAUGAGAGGGGAGAUAGGAAAGCACAUUGUCCUCGUACUCAUAGACUGUGGGGCUUCUGAUAAGUAUAGACCUUUAAUUAGGAAGGUCUAUGUUAGGAGGAAGAGGGGAGUAGCAGGGAAUAAUAACCCUGUAACUGACUCCAACUGAUCUAAGGGGAGGUUAGGAUUCUGUUAUUCUGUUAGCACUCUGUAACUGACAACUACCUACUAUAAAGGUUAGUUAGCAAGGUAGUUAGAAUCACUUUUGGGUUGUUAGGAAUAGUGGAGAGUCUGGUCUCUCGAAUAACCAGUGGUUUUCUCUGUAAGAUUGUGAAUUUCCUCUGUAUCUUCUUGGUUUCAGAGAGAGUUUCCAAUACAAUUCUUCCCAGUUUUCUCUUGAGUUUAUCAUUGGUAUCAGAGCUCCAUCCAGGAGCUGUGGUAUCGAAUUUCUAUGGUCAAGAGCAGAAUGGAGGCAAGAAUCGAGAAUGUGGAGCGCAACAUGGAGCGGAUCUUGGAGGUUCUGGAUCGGAACCGCGAGGAAGAUCGAAGGAAUCGCGAUGCAAACCGAGCAGGAGAUGAAGAACAAUUGAGGCAAGUGGAGGCGCGAUUGGAAGGGUUGUCGUGCAACCGUGAGGAGGAGGAGGCGACGCAAGCGACGCCGGAGACGACAACGGUGCAAGACGCGGAGACGACGGCGCAAGGUGCGAAUCGCUGGCGCAAGAUGGAAAUUCCAGUCUAUGAUGGAAGUGAAGAUGCGUUUGGCUGGGUCAACAAACUGGAAAGGUAUUUUCGCAUCAAGUGAGCGAUGGAGGAAGAGAAGCUACAAGUGGUGGUGGUAGCUUUGGAUGGAAGAGCGUUAAGCUGGUUUCAAUGGUGGGAACCUUGUCACCUGCAAGCGUCUUGGGAGAAAUUCAAACGUGCGAUCUUGGAGAGGUUUCGGUCCUCGGUUUCGCAGAGUCCGUUUGCAGCGUUGCUAGCGCUGAAACAGGGUGGCAGCGUCGCGGAAUUCGUGGAGCAAUUCGAAAGAUUUGCUGGAAUGAUGAAAGGUGUGGAAGAAGAUCACCCGAGAGAGGUUUUCCUCAACGGAUUGAAGGAGGAAUUAGCGGCAGAGGUGAAGCUUUAUGAACCAAAGACUCUGACAGAGUUGGUCAAGAAAGCGUUAAUGGUGGAGCAGAAGAACAGUGCAGUUCAGAGAGCGGGUACUGGUGGUUGGGGGGAAGAACGGGCUCUAAUUUUCGGAGUUUUCCUCCGUCUAGAUCGGUGGUGAUGGACACAGGGCAGAGGAACCCGUUGCGACCUACAAAUUCAACAGCGGCAGUGAGCAAUCCAGCACCAGCAGUUGGGACUGGUUCAGGGGACAAAGGUUUACCAAGGUUGAGACCUACUGGUUUUCGUACGUUAUCUGAGGCAGAGAUGCAAGAGAAGAUUAGGAAAGGGGAGUGUUUCAGGUGUGAGGAAAAGUUUGGCUCAAACCAUGUUUGCAAGAACAAGCAGCUACGGGUGAUGUUGUUGGGAGAAGAGGAGGUUACAGAUCCAGAACAGGAGGAAAAUCUUGAAUCAGAUACAGACCAAGUUGAGCCACAGCUGUUCCAGUUAUCUCUCAAGAGCAUAGCUGGUUUUACUUCUAGAAGGUCUUUGAAGGUUUGGGGAGAGUUGGGGCAACAUAAAGUCAUUGUUUUGGUGGAUUGUGGUGCUACACACAAUUUUAUUUCACAGAAUUUGGUCAAUUCUUUGCAAUUACCAGUGGCAGAAACUCCUCCCUACAUGGUGGAGGUUGGUGAUGGGCAUAAGGUGAAAUGCCAAAGCAAGUACACAGAUGUACAGCUAAGCAUUCAGGGCAUUCCAAUUACACAGGAGCUUUUCCUCUUUAAUUUGGGGGGUGUGGAUGUGGUUCUAGGACUAGAAUGGUUGGCAAGUUUGGGGAACAUAAAGGCCAAUUUUGAGGAGUUAACUUUGAGGUUUAAAGUAGGGAGCAAGAAGAUGUUGCUGAAGGGUGAACCUGGACUCAUUAGGAAAACUGCUUCUUUAUCUUCCUUGGUCAAGACUCUACAACAAGCUGAGGGGUUUUGGGUGGAGUUUCAGUAGCUGGCUGAAGUUCCAGAGGAGUCAGUGGCUGUUCCAGUGCAGUUGCAGGGGUUGAUGAAGGGUUACAACGAGUUAUUCACUGCCAUACAGGACUUACCCCCCAGUAGAGUGCAAGAUCAUGCUAUUCACUUGCAAGAGGGAGCUUCCAUACCAAAUAUUCGACCAUACAGCUGCUGUUGGAGUAGCAAAACAUGAGACAUGGCGUAGAAAGGCUAUAUGGAACCGUGUGAAAGACUUUCAUUUACUUACAGGAAUCCCUGUUACAAGUCCCAUCAUAUCUCUAAUAGUAGGCAGUGAAGACAAAGCA